rnacentral:rRNA from 1 species
AUUUUGCUCAAUGGGCGAAAGCCUGAAGCAGCAACGCCGCGUGAGGGAUGAAGGCCUUCGGGUUGUAAACCUCUUUUCUCAGGGACGAUGAUGACGGUACCUGAGGAAUAAGCCACGGCUAACUACGUGCCAGCAGCCGCGGUAAUACGUAGGUGGCAAGCGUUGUCCGGAUUUACUGGGCGUAAAGAGCGCGCAGGCGGUCGGCUCAGUCGAAUGUGAAAGCCCCCGGCUCAACUGGGGAGGGUCAUUCGAUACUGUCCGACUCGAAGGCAGGAGAGGGAAGCGGAAUUCCCGGUGUAGUGGUGAAAUGCGUAGAUAUCGGGAGGAACACCAGUGGCGAAGGCGGCUUUCUGGCCUGUUCUUGACGCUGAGGCGCGAAAGCUAGGGGAGCGAACGGG